GACGAACGCUGGCGGCGUGCUUAACACAUGCAAGUCGAACGAAGAGCGAUGGAAGCUUGCUUCUAUCAAUCUUAGUGGCGAACGGGUGAGUAACGCGUAAUCAACCUGCCCUUCAGAGGGGGACAACAGUUGGAAACGACUGCUAAUACCGCAUACGAUCUAAUCUCGGCAUCGAGGAUAGAUGAAAGGUGGCCUCUACAUGUAAGCUAUCACUGAAGGAGGGGAUUGCGUCUGAUUAGCUAGUUGGAGGGGUAACGGCCCACCAAGGCGAUGAUCAGUAGCCGGUCUGAGAGGAUGAACGGCCACAUUGGGACUGAGACACGGCCCAGACUCCUACGGGAGGCAGCAGUGAGGAAUCUUCCGCAAUGGACGAAAGUCUGACGGAGCAACGCCGCGUGAGUGGUGACGGCCUUCGGGUUGUAAAGCUCUGUUAAUCGGGACGAAAGGCCUUCUUGCGAAUAGUGAGAAGGAUG
rnacentral:rRNA from 1 species